rnacentral:lncRNA from 1 species
AGGUGCGAUCAUACCAGCACUAAUGCACCGGAUCCCAUCAGAACUCCGCAGUUAAGCGGCUUGGGCGAGAGUAGUACUAGGAUGGGUGACCUCCUGGGAAGUCCUUGUGUUGCACCUCUUUUUGCCAAAAUUUCUUGUUCUUUUUGUUAAUUAGCGUAAUUUUACGUCGUUUUUGAAAAAUAAACUUCAAUUGUAUUUCAUUUUUUCCGUUAAUUUACGCAACCUAAAACUCUAUUCGUUAAUUAGCGUAGUUUGACGUCUUUUUUGAAAAAUAAACUUAGAAAUGCAUAUAUACAAUUACAACGCUUUACUCUCAGGUGCGAUCAUACCAGCACUAAUGCACCGGAUCCCAUCAGAACUCCGCAGUUAAGCGGCUUGGGCGAGAGUAGUACUAGGAUGGGUGACCUCCUGGGAAGUCCUUGUGUUGCACCUCUUUUUGCCAAAAUUUCUUGUUCUUUUUGUUAAUUAGCGUAAUUUUACGUCGUUUUUGAAAAAUAAACUUCAAUUGUAUUUCAUUUUUUCCGUUAAUUUACGCAACCUAAAACUCUAUUCGUUAAUUAGCGUAGUUUGACGUCUUUUUUGAAAAAUAAACUUAGAAAUGCAUAUAUACAAUUACAACGCUUUACUCUCAGGUGCGAUCAUACCAGCACUAAUGCACCGGAUCCCAUCAGAACUCCGCAGUUAAGCGUGCUUGGGCGAGAGUAGUACUAGGAUGGGUGACCUCCUGGGAAGUCCUUGUGUUGCACCUCUUUUUGCCAAAAUUUCUUGUUCUUUUUGUUAAUUAGCGUAAUUUUACGUCGUUUUUGAAAAAUAAACUUCAAUUGUAUUUCAUUUUUUCCGUUAAUUUACGCAACCUAAAACUCUAUUCGUUAAUUAGCGUAGUUUGACGUCUUUUUUGAAAAAUAAACUUAGAAAUGCAUAUAUACAAUUACAACGCUUUACUCUCAGGUGCGAUCAUACCAGCACUAAUGCACCGGAUCCCAUCAGAACUCCGCAGUUAAGCGGCUUGGGCGAGAGUAGUACUAGGAUGGGUGACCUCCUGGGAAGUCCUUGUGUUGCACCUCU